AGAAUCAACGCUGGCGGCGUGCCUAACACAUGCAAGUCGAACGAGAAAGUGGAGCAAUCCAUGAGUACAGUGGCGUACGGGUGAGUAACACGUGACUAACCUACCCUCGAGUGGGGAAUAACCUCGGGAAACCGGGGCUAAUACCGCAUAACAUCUACGGAUCAAAUGCGCAAGCAGCUUGAGGAGGGGGUCGCGGCCGAUUAGCUAGUUGGCGGGGUAAUGGCCCACCAAGGCAAUGAUCGGUAGCCGGCCUGAGAGGGCGCACGGCCACACUGGAACUGAAACACGGUCCAGACUCCUACGGGAGGCAGCAGUGGGGAAUUUUGCGCAAUGGGGGAAACCCUGACGCAGCAACGCCGCGUGGAGGAUGAAGCCCCUUGGGGUGUAAACUCCUUUCGAUCGGGACGAUUAUGACGGUACCGGAUGAAGAAGCACCGGCUAACUCUGCGCCAGCAGCCGC
rnacentral:rRNA from 1 species